rnacentral:guide_RNA from 1 species
AUUUAGACUGAGGGUAAUUAAAUCCCU